GACGAACGCUGGCGGCGUGCUUAACACAUGCAAGUCGAACGGGAAGUAGCGUAGCUUGCUAUGCUACGGAUAGUGGCGGAUGGGUGAGUAACACGUGGGCAACCUACCUGGAAGACCGGGAUAACAGCUUGAAAGGGCUGCUAAUACCGGAUAAAGUGGGCGGAUGAUUAUUCGUUUACCAAAGCGAUCAGUGCUUUCAGAUGGGCCUGCGUCCCAUUAGUUUGUUGGUAGGGUAACGGCCUACCAAGGCGAUGAUGGGUAGCCGGUCUGAGAGGAUGUACGGCCACACUGGGACUGAGAACGGCCCAGACUCCUACGGGAGGCAGCAGUGGGGAAUCUUGCGCAAUGGGGGCAACCCUGACGCAGCGACGCCGUGUGAGUGAUGAAUGCCUUCGGGUUGUAAAGCUCUGUCUAUGGGGAAGAUGAUGACGGUACCCAUGGAGGAAGCCCCGGCUAACUACGUGCCAGCAGCCGCGGUAAGACGUAGGGGGCGAGCGUUGUCCGGAAUUACUGGGCGUAAAGGGCGUGUAGGCGGUCUAUCAAGUCGAUGGUGAAAUUCCUCGGCUCAACUGAGGGCUUGCUGUUGAAACUGUUAGGCUUGAGUGCAGGGGAGGAAAGCGGAAUUCCCGGUGUAGCGGUGAAGUGCGUAGAUAUCGGGAGGAACACCAGUGGCGAAGGCGGCUUUCUACCCUGUUACUGACGCUGAGGCGCGAAAGCCGGGGGAGCAAA
rnacentral:rRNA from 1 species